rnacentral:rRNA from 1 species
UAGGGAAUCUUCCACAAUGGGCGAAAGCCUGAUGGAGCAACGCCGCGUGAGUGAUGAAGGCCUUCGGGUUGUAAAACUCUGUCAUUCGGGACGAACCGGAGUCUGAGGAAAUGCAGACUCUCUGACGGUACCGGAGGAGGAAGCCCCGGCUAACUACGUGCCAGCAGCCGCGGUAAUACGUAGGGGGCAAGCGUUGUCCGGAUUCACUGGGCGUAAAGCGCGCGCAGGCGGUGAUGUAAGUCUGAGGUGAAAACCCGAAGCUCAACUUCGGGACUGCCUUGGAUACUGCGUCACUUGAGGAUAGGAGAGGCAAGGGGAAUUCCACGUGUAGCGGUGAAAUGCGUAGAGAUGUGGAGGAACACCUGUGGCGAAGGCGCCUUGCUGGCUUAUUUCUGACGCUGAGGCGCGAAAGCGUGGGGAGCAAACAGG